CUAAAGUGGCUAAAUAAAUGUUGAGAAGUUAAUUGGCCGAUUGUCGUGAGAUCUUGCGAUCUCCAUCGGCGAAUCCGCUUCCCGAGCUUCUCACACUU